rnacentral:rRNA from 1 species
UACGUAGGGUGCGAGCGUUGUCCGGAAUUAUUGGGCGUAAAGGGCUCGUAGGCGGUCUGUCACGUCGGGAGUGAAAACCCAGGGCUCAACCCUGGGCCUGCUUCCGAUACGGGCAGACUAGAGGUAUGCAGGGGAGAAUGGAAUUCCUGGUGUAGCGGUGAAAUGCGCAGAUAUCAGGAGGAACACCUAUGGCGAAGGCAGCUCUCUGGGACGGUACUGACGCUGAGACGCGAAAGCGUGGGGAGCGAACAGG